CGGUUCCCAGCGGCGGACGGGUGAGUAACACGUGGGUAACCUACCUCAUAGUGGGGAAUAGCCUUUCGAAAGGAAGAUUAAUACCGCAUAAUACUCGAGAAUCGCAUGAUUCUUGAGCCAAAGGAUUUAUUCGCUAUGAGAUGGACCCGCGGCGCAUUAGCUUGUUGGUGAGGUAACGGCUCACCAAGGCUUCGAUGCGUAGCCGACCUGAGAGGGUGAUCGGCCACAUUGGAACUGAGACACGGUCCAGACUC
rnacentral:rRNA from 1 species